rnacentral:lncRNA from 1 species
UUUAUACAUAUGCAUAUGAGUGUGCGUAUAUACAUUUCAAUGUACAUAUACGCUAAUAACUAUAUAAAUAGAUAAUAAGUGUCUAUAGGGUCAUAUAUAUCAGUGCAUAUAGAAAUGUAUAUAUGCACUAUCAAUGCAUAAGGGUGCAUGUGCGUCGCAUAUCAGUGUACAUAUAACUAAUAGCAAGUUUAUAUAUACACGUACAAACAUAUCAAUAUACACAUAUCCUUUAUAUGCACACUCAAUAUAUCAAUAUAUACAUGUCGUUUAUAUGCACAUUGUGAGUGUGAGAAUGAGUGUUAGUGAAUGUGUGUGAGUGUGAGUGUGAGUGUGUGUGUGUGUGUGUGAGUGUGAGUGUGAGUGUGAGUGUGAGUGUGAGUGUGAGUGAGUUUUAGUUUUAGUUUGUGUGUGUGUGAGUGUGUGUGUGUGAGUGUGUGGUGUGUGUGUGUACGUGUUAAGAAAAAGUGACUUAAUAAAAUUGCAAACCACAAGUAAAGCUCUAGAAAAUUCACUUCGUAUUUGCAUGAAAGAAGCAAGAGCAGUACUGCUAGAGAAUAAAGAACCAUUAAGCAAAUCGAGCUUUCAAGUUCAAGAUCUCAAAUAUCAAAGAAUAUAAAGAGAUCCGCCUCGAUGAUAAGUUGCAUUCAUGCUUGUUGAAUUACAAGCAAACUCAAUGAAGAUGAAGCUCAUCAACAAUAAUAAAAACAAGUACAAAUAUAUGAUAAAACUUUAGAUGGACUAUCACAAUUGGGUAUUUUAACAUACCUAAUAUAUCAAGAGAAGAAACUCAUUCCUAUGCCUAAUUCUAUACAAAGUAUUAUGGAAUUUCGCCUAAACUUAUCUGAUUAGAGGUGAUAGCUAGAAGAAAUAAUCUCCUUCUUUAAUACCUGAUUUUAUCACAAUUUGGAAAUUGUAUAUGGUAGGAAAAAUCAUUCACAGAGAAGAUAAUGAUUCGAAUGGUAAGAAUUGAGAGGAAAAUAAUAAAAAAGGAGGGGGCAGGGGGAACUGUCCCUUUACCUUGUUGGCUGCAACUGCCACCUGUGCUUUCAUAUACAUAUCAAUGUACAUCUACGCUAAUAACUGUAUAAACUGAUAAAAAGUGUAUAUAUGGUCAUAAACAUCGGUGUAUAUAAAAAUGUAUAUAUACACUAUUAAUGCGUAAGGGUGCAUGUGCGUACGCAUAUCAGUGUAUAUAUAACAGACAACAAGUUUAUACAAACACACAUAAACAAAUCAGUAAAUACAUAUCGUAUAUAUACACACUGUAUAUAUAUAAACUGCUAAUAUAUGUCCUUAUGGUUAUAUAUAUAUCAGUGUAUAAAGAAUGCAUGUAUUAUUGUAUAUAUACACAGUAUAUAUGCACUUAUCAACGCGUAAAGGUACAUGUGCAUGCAUAUAUCAGUACAUACAUAUAUUGAUAAUUGUAUAUAUUUGAUAGAAAGCAAUUGUGUACAUACACAUAACAAUAUCAGUAUAUACAUAUCGUAUUAUAUAUACACACAUCAGUCCAUACACACCAUGCAUAUAAGUAUAGUAUAUAUAUCUGUGAGUGUGAGUGUGAGUGUGAGUGUGAGUGUGUGUGAGUGUGAGUGUCAGUAUUAGUGGGUGUGUGUGGGUGAGUGUGAGUGAGAGUGUGUGUAGUAUAUAUGUUAAUAAUCGUAUAAAUUGAUAAAUACUGUAUAUAUCGUCAUAUAUACCAAUGUAUAUAUUACUGCACUGUAUAUAUACAGUUACGAACUUUAAACAUACACACAUAUCAAUAUAUACAUAUCGUAUAUAUACAGACAUCACACACAUACACACAUAUCAAUGUAUUUUUACACACUAAUAACUAUACAUAUAGCAGAUAACUAAUGUAUUGUAUGGUAAUAUGUAUCAGUAUGUAUAUAUAUACUGAAAACAAUAGUCUAUAUUGAUAUACAUCAAUUCGUAUACAAAUUAAGCGAAUAACUGUAUAUAUCACUGAUAAUAAGUAUAUACAUGGUCUUUUACAUAAGUGUACAAAUAAACCGUUUAUACAUAUGCAUAUGAAUGUGCGUAUAUACAUUUCAUUGUACAUAUACACUAAUAACUGUAUAAACUGAUAAUAAGUGUAUACAGAAAUGAAUGUAUGCACUAUCAAUGCGUGAGGAUGUACAUGUGUGUCGCAUAUCAGUGCAUAUAUAACUGAUAGCAAAGUUAUACAUACACACAAACAUAUCAGUAAAUACAUAUCAUUUAUAUGCAUACCGUAUAUACAUAUAAACUACUAAUACGCGUCAAUAUGGUCAAAUAUAUCAGUGUAUAUAGAAUGCAUGUAUUAGUGUAUACAUACACAUUAUAUAUGCACUUAUCCACGCGUAAAGGUAUAUGUACGUGCGCAUAAUAGUGCAUAUAUACAUCGAUAAUUGUAUAUAACUGAUAACAAGCAACUGUAUACAUAUACGCAAAAACAUAUGCAUAUACAUAUCGUAAAUAUACACACAUCAAUCCAUACACACCACGCAUGUGUAGUAUACAUAUAUGUGAGUGUCAGUGUCAGUGUUAGUGUCUGUGUGAGUGUGUGAGUUGUGAGUGUGAGUGGGAGUGUGAGUGUGUGAGAGGGAGUGUGAGUGUGAGUGUGAGUGUGAGUGUGAGUGUGAGUAUGUUUACACACAAAUAAACAUAUCAGAUUAUACAUAUCGUAUAUAUAUACACACUGUGUAUAUAUAUAAACAGCUAAUGAAUGUAUACAUACAUAGUAUAUACGCACUUAUAAACGCGUAAGGGUGCAUGUACGUAUACAUACCAGUGUACAUAUACAUUGAUAAUUGUACUUAACAGAUGCAAAACAACUGUAUAUAGACAUGCAUAAACAUAUAAGUAUAUACAUAUCGUAUAUAUACACACAUCAGUCCAUACACCACGCAUAUAUGUGUAGAAUAUAUAUCUCUGAGUGUGAGUGUGAUUGUGAGUGUGUGUGAAUGUGAGUGUGUGUGAGAGUAUGUGAGAGUCAAUGUGAGUGUGACUGUGUGUGUGUGUGUGUGAGUGCGAGUGCGAGUGCGAGUGCGAGUGCGAGUGCGAGUGUGAAUGUGUGCAUGCAUGUGUGAGUGUGAGCGUGUGUGAGUGUGAGUGUGAGUGUGUGGGUUUAAUAUAUAAAAUGCUAUACAUAAACAUUAAUAAUUGUAUAAACUGAUAAUAAAUGUAUAUAUGAUCAUAUACAUCAAUGUAUAUAGUAAUGUACAUUUUAGUGCACUGCAUAUAUACAGUUUACACGUGCACACAUAUCAAAAUAUACACAUACAUCGUAUAUAUACAGACAUCACGCACACACACAUAUCAACAUAUUUUUUACACACUGAUAACUGUAUAUAUAGCUGAUAACUAAUGUAUUGUAAGGUUAUAUGCAUCAGUAUAUAUAUAAAUAUAUAUAUAUACUGAAAACAAUGGUAUAUAUUAUUAUAAAUCAAUACGUACACAAAUUGUGCUAAUAACUAUAUAUAUCACUGAUAAUAAAGUUUAUACAUGGUCUUAUACUUUAGUGUAUAUAGAAACCGUUUAUACAUAUGCAAAUGAGUGUGCAUAUAAACAUAUCAAUGUAUAUAUAUAUUAAUAACUAUAUAAACAAAUAAGGAUGUAUAUUGAAAUGUUUGUAUACACUAUCAAUGCAUAAGGGUGCAUGUGCCUGUGCAUAUCAGUGUCUAUAUAACUGAAAUGUUUAUGCGUGUAGCAAGUUUAUACAUACACACAUAAACAUAUCAGUAUAUACAUGUCAUAGAUAUACACACUGUAUAUAUCACUAAUAAUGAAGUAUAUACAGGGUCUUAUACUUUAGUGUAUAUACAAACUGAUAAUAAGGGUCUAUAUGAUCAUACAUAUCAGUCUAUCCAGAAUGCAUGUAUUAGUGUAAACCUACACAAUAUAUACGCACUUGUCAAUGUGUAAGGGUGCAUGUGCGUGCGCAUAUCAGUGUAUGCAAAUAUUGAUAAUUAUAUGUAACUGAUAGCAAUCAACUGUAUACAUAGACGCAUAAACAUAUCAGUAUAUACAUAUCGUAUAUAUACACAUCAGUCCAAACACAACACGCAUAUAUGUGUAGUAUAUAUAUCUGAGUGUGAGUGAGUGUGAGUGUGAAUGUGAGACAUCGUCAGUUAUUAUUUCCAAUUUUUUUCAAUAGACUUGGCAGCCCCAGACCAUAGAAAGCUACUCGACUAAUCAAAAUGGAGCCGAGCAGGUUCGGAUUCCUAACCAUUGGAAUAACUGGAGGCGAUGGCUUCGCUUUCUGAGCUAAAAAAAAAACCUUCCCUCUUCGGACAUCAAGGCUCGCUGGUGAGUGAGAGUGUGUGAGUGUGUGUGUAGUAUAUAAAUCAGUGAACAUAUAGGUUACGAACUGUAUAAACUGAUAAUAAGUAUAUAUAUGGUCAUAUACAUCAAUGUAUAUAGAAAAGUAUAUAUUUUAACACACUAAUAAAUGUAUAUAUACAAUUAUGCAUUUUACACACUGUGCACUAUACACACAAACAUAUCAAUAUAUACUCAUCGCACCUAUAUAGCAUCACACACACAUCAAUAUUAUUUUUACACAUUAAUAACUAUAUAUAUAGCUGAUAACAAAUGUGCGAGUGUGAGUGUGAGAGUGAGAGUGUGUGUGUAGUAUAUAAAUCAGUGUACAUAUACGUUAAUAAAUUUAUAAACUAAUAAUAAAUGUAUAUAUGGUCAUAUACAUCAAUGUAUAUAAAAAUAUAAACAUUAAAUGCAUUGUAUAUAUAUACAGUUAUUUACACUAUAUAAAUCAGUGUACAUAUACGUUAAUAAAUUUAUAAACUAAUAAUAAGUGUAUAUAUGGUCAUAUACAUCAAUGUAUAUAGAAAUAUAAACAUUAAAUGCAUUGUAUAUAUACAGUUAUUUACACAUACACAGAAAUCCGUAUAUACACAUCGUAUAUAUACAGACAUCACACACACAUAUCAAUGUAUUUUUACACAUUAGUAACUGUACAUAUAGCUGAUAACUAAUGUAUUCCAGGCUUAUAAACAUCAAUACGUAAACAUAUAGAGCUAAUAACUGUAUAUAUCACUGAUAAUAAGUAUAUACAUGGUCUUAUACAUUAGUGUGAGUGUGAGUGUGAGUAUGUGUGUGGUGUGUGUGUGUGUAAAGAAAAAGUUAAUAAAAUUGCAAACCACAAGUCAACCUCCAAAAAAUUCAAUCCAUAUUUGCAUGAAUGAAGCAAAAGUGUGUGUUAAGAAAAAGUUACUUCAUAAAAUUGCAAACCACAAGUAACGCUCUUGAAAUUUCACUCCAUAUUUGCAUGAAAGAAGCAAAAGCAGUACUAUAAUAGAAAAGAAAGAACCAUCAAGACGAACAAGCUUGCAAUAUCAAGAUCUCAAAUAUCGAAUAACAUAAAGAGAUCCACCUCUAUGAUAAGUUGCUUUCAAGCUUGUUGAUUUACAAGAAAACUCAAUGAAGAUCAAGCUCAUCAAUAAUAAUGAAAACAAGCACAAAUAAGAUAAAAAAUUUACAUGGACUAUCACAAUAGGGUAUUUAGCAUACCCAAUUCACCAAGAGAAGAAACCCAUUCUUAUGCCUAAUUCUCACAAAGUAAUAAGGAAUUUCGCCAAGGCUAAUCAAAUUACAGGUGAUAGUAUAUAUAUUUGUCAGUGUGAGUGUGAGUGUGAAAGAAGCAAGAGCAGUAAUAUAUCACUUCAUAUUUGCAUGAAAGAAGUAAGAGCAGUGCUAUACUACAGAAGAAAGAACCAUUAAGCAAAUCAAGAUUGCAAGAUCAAGAUCUCAAAUAUCGAAUGACGUAAAGAGAUCUGAUCCGCCUCGAUGAUAAAUUGCUUUCAUGCUUGUUGAUUUACAAGAAAACUCAAUGAAGAUGAAGCUCAUCAAUAAUAAUAAAAACAAGUACAAAUAAGAUAAAAAAUUUACAUGGACUAUCACAAUAGGGUAUGUAGCAUAUCCAAUUCAUCAAGAGAAGAAACCCAUUCUUAUGCCUAAUUAUAUACAAAGUAAUAAGGAAUUUCGCCAAGGCUAAUCAAAUUAUAGGUGAUAGUAUAUAUAUUUGUCAGUGUGACUGUGAUUGUGAGUGUGAGUGUGAGUGUGCGUGUGAGUGUGAGUGUGAGUGUGAGUGUGAGUGUGAGUGUGCAUGUGAGUGUAAGUGUCAGUGUCAGUGCGAGUGCGUGUGUAAGUGUGUGAGUCUGAGUGUGUGUGUGUAUGAGUGAGUGUGAGUGUGAGUGUGAGGAUGAGAGUGAGUGUGAGUGUGAGUGCGUGUGUAGUAUAUAAAUCAGUGUACAUAUACGUUAAUAAAGGUAUAACCUAAUAAUGAAUAUAUAUGGUUAUAUAUAUCGAUGUAUAUAUAAAUGUAUAUAUUAAUGCACUGUAUAUAUAAAUGUAUAUAUUAAUGCACUGUAUAUAUACAUUUAUGCACUUACACUUACACACAAAUCCGUAUAUACACAUCAUAUAUAUACAGACAUCACACACACAUAUCAAUGUAUUUUUGCACACUAGUAACUGUAUAUAUAACUGAUAACUAAUAUAUUGUAUGAUUAUAUGCAGCAAUAUAUAUAUACUCUGAAAAGAAUGGUAUAUAUUGAUAUACAUCAAUACAUACACAAAUUGAACUAAUAAUUGUAUAUAUAUCACUGAUAAUAAGUAUAUACAUGGGCUUAUAAAUUAGUGCAUAUAUAAACUCAUUAUACGUAAGCAUACGAGUGUGAGAGUAUAUACAUAUCAGUGUACAUAAACACCAAUAACUGUAUAAACUGAUAAGAAGUGUCCAUAUAGUCAUAUAUAUCAGUGUAUAUAGAAAUGUAUAUGCAUUAUCAAUGCGUAAGGGUGCAUGUGCGUGCGGAUAUCAGUAUACAUAUAACUCAUAGGAAGUUUAUAGAUACACGCAUAAACAUAUCAGUAUAUACAUGUCGUAAAUAUGCACACUGUAUAUAUAUGUAAAGUGCUAAUAAGUGUCGAUAUGGUUAUAAAUAUCAGUGUAUAUAAUAUGCAUGUAUUAGUGUAAAUAUACACAGUAUAUAUGUACUUAUCAACACGUAAGGGUGCAUGUGCAUACACGUAUCAAUGUAUACAUACAUUGACAAUUGUAUAUAACUGGUAGCAAGCAAUUGUAUACAUACAUGCAUAAAUAUAUCAUCGUAUAUACGCACAUCAGUCCAUACACAACACUCAUAUAAGUGUAUUAUAUAUCUGAGCGUGAGUGUGAGUGUGAGUGCGUGUUAAUAUGUGUGAUUGUGUGGGUGUGAGAGUGUGUGUGUGAGUGCGAGUGUGUGAGUGUGAGCACGAGCGUGAGUGUGUGAGCGUGAGCGUGUGUGUGUGUAUGUGUGUGUGUGUGUGUGUGUGUGUGUGUGUGUGUGUAUGUGGUGUGUGUACGUGUGUUAAGAAAAAGUUACUUAAUGAAAUUGAAAACCACAAGUAGUACUCCAGAAAAUUCAUUCCAUAUUUGCAUGAAAGAAGCAAGAGUGUGUGUGUGUUAAGAAAAAGUUACUUAAAAAAUUACAAACCACAAGUAAAGUUUCAGGAAAUUCACUUCAUUUUUGCAUGAAAGAAGUAAGAGAAGUAUCAUACUAGAGAAGAAAGAACCAUUAAUCAAAUCAAGCUUGCAAGAUCAAGAUCUCAAAUAUCGAAUAACGUAAAGAGAUCCACCCCGAUGAUAAGUUGCUUUCAUGCUUGUUGCUUUACAAGCAAACUCGAUGAAGAUGAAGCCCAUCAAUAAUAAUAGAAACAAGUACAAAUCAGACAAAAAAUUUUAGAUGGACUAUCACAAUCGGGUAUUUAGCAUACCCAAUUCAUCAAGAGAAGAAACCCAGUUUUAUGCCUAAUUCUAUACAAAGCAAUAUCAAAUUUCGCCUAGGCUUAUCUGAUUAGAGGUGAUAGCCAGAAGAAAUAAUCUCCUUCUUGAAGGCCCGAAUUUAUCACAGUUUGGAAAAUUGUAUACGAAAAAAUCAUUCACAUAGAAGAUAAUGAUUCGAAUGGAAAGAAUUGAGAGGAAAAUAAUAAAAAAAGAAGGGGGGGGAUAUGUUCAACCUUAUUGACUGCAACAGCCACCUGUGCAUUCAUAUACAUAUCAAUGUACAUCUACGCUAAUAACAAUAGAAACUGUUAAAAAGUGUAUAUAUGGUCUAUAUCAACGUACAUAAAAAAGUAUAUAUGCGCACUUAAUGCGUAAGGGUGCAUGUGCGUGCGCAUAUCAGUGUAUAUAUAACUGAUAGCAAGUUUAUACAUACAUGCAUAAACAUAUCAGUAUAUACAUAUCAUAUAUAUACACACUGUAUAUAUAUAUAUAUAUAUAAACUGUUAAUAUAUGUCUCAGUGUAUAUAGAAUGCAUGUAUAAGUGUAUGCAUAUACAUUAUAUAUGCACUUAUCAACGCGUAAGGGUGCACGUGUGUGCAUAUAUCAGUACAUAUAUAUUGAUAAUUGUAUACAACUGAUAGCAAGCAACUGUAUACAUACACGCAUAAACAUAUCAAUAUAUACAUAUCGUAUAUAUACACACAAUAGUCCAUACACAGCAUGCAUAUAUGUGUAGUAUAAAUAUCUAUGAGUGUGAAUGUCAGUGUGUGUGUGUGUAAGUGCGAGUGUAUGUGAGUGAGUGCGAGUGUGAGUGUGCGUGUGAAUGUGAGUGUGAAUGUGAGUGUGAGUGUGAGUGUGAGUGUGAGUGUGAGUGUGGGCGUAGGCGUGGGCGUGGGCGUGGGCGUGGGCGUGGGCGUGGGCGUGGGCAUGAGUAUGUGUGUGAGUGAGUGUGAGUGUGAGUGUGAGUGUGAGUGUGAGUGUGUGCAGUAUAGAAAUCAGUGUAUAUAUAUGUUACUAACUGUAUAAACUGAUAAUAUACAUCAAUAUAUAUAGAAAUGUACAUAUUAUGGUCAUAUAAUGCACUGUAUAUAUACAGUUAUGCCUUUUACACAAACACACAUAUCAGUAUAUAUACAUACACACACACACAUGUCAAUGUAUUUUGUACACACUAAUAAGUAUAUAUAGAGCUGAUAACUAAUGUUUUGUAUGGUUAUAUGCAUUAGUAUAUAAAAAUACACUGAAUUGUUAUACAUCAAUACGUACAGAAAUUGAACUAAUAACUGUAUAUAUCACUGAUAAACCCAUUAUACAUAUGCAUAUGAGUGUACGUAUAUACAUAUCAGUGUACAUAUGCAGUAGUAACUGUAUAAACCGAUAAUAAUUGUCUAUAUGAUCAUAAAUAUCAGUGUAUAAAGAAAUGUAUGUAUGCACUAUCAAUUCGUAAGAGUGCAUGUGCGUACGCAUAUCAGUAUAUAUAACUAAUAGCAAGUUUAUAUAUACGUGUGUAAACAAAUCAGCAUAUACAUAUCGUAUAUAUGCACACUAUAUAU